UCAGUCAAAUGAGGAUCUCACACACUUUCUGAACUCCAGCUCAGACUCAACAACACUCUUUCAUUUCCACGAGCUCAACAACGGCACACAGGAUGAGAUCUGCGGUUUUCCUCGUUCUCCUCGUCUCUCUGAUGUUCACUGAUGGAUUGGAUGAAUGUGUCAUAUACAGAAAUGAUCAGUGUGAAAAGAUUAACAAUUCUCCCUGCCUAGCAACUUUGAAUAACAAUGCUUAUGCUCAGUUUAAACGCAAACAUAUUCUCUCAGAUGUUUUCGAUACAAACAGUCUAAUGGAUUGGUCAAACUACCUAAUAAAGCAGAAACUUUGUGGCACUGACAGACCUUCUCAACAGUCCUUUGUCCACAACGAGAAUAGCAUUAUAAAUAUCUGCAAUGGAGGAGGCAUCAGAUUCAGAGACGGAGACACAAAUUCAUACAAAGACAACCUGUGCACCAGCAGAGCGACGUUCACAGUGUACAUCGUCACAAAAAUACAGCAGUGGAAGCCGUGUGUAGUUGUGGAUGUAAAAGUGAUUCAGAGCUAUGUGGUUGUAGCUUGUGAUGUCGUUGUUAACCAGUGUUUGCCUGUUCACUAUCAGACACAAACUAACACACCGCCAGAUCAAAAUGAUGAGACCUGCCAGCCGCCGACAUAUUGGCAUCAUGAUUACAUUGAGGUUGAAGAGCAUUCGCCCUAUAGGUAGACUUUAGUUGUGUUUAAAAGUGAAGUUAGUUGGAAAUCAUUCCUAGUUAAUCUCGGAUGUUUCACAUAAGCGUCAUUAUCCAAGACGAAUGCAAACAUGUUCAUAAGCUUCACUUCUAUCGUCUAACAUCACUUACAACUGAUUAUAGUCCUUUCAGCUCUGAGAUUCUCGUUUAUUUUUAUGAACGCUUCAUAUAAUCUGGUCAUUCGUGAAUCAGUGAAUGUGGAUUUGUUGUUCUUCUGUUUCUUCUGUUUGAGAAAUUUUAGCUGUUUAUUUCUGUUUUCAGUUCAAAUGAUGAAUGUUAGCAAUUGCUAUGCUUUUCCAUGUGUCAUUUUGAGAACUUAACUAUUUUUACAGCUGUUUUGUUUCCUUUAACACUUCAACUGUGUAAGGCAUGUGUGUUGUUAUGGUUUUACAAAACCAAAUUUGUGGUGAAAAUAAACCAUCUUACUGUCUGUCA